rnacentral:rRNA from 2 species
AGAGUUUGAUCCUGGCUCAGGACGAACGCUGGCGGCAUGCCUAAUACAUGCAAGUCGAACGAGCUUCCGUUGAAUGACGUGCUUGCACUGAUUUCAACAAUGAAGCGAGUGGCGAACUGGUGAGUAACACGUGGGUAACUUGCCCAGAAGCAGGGGAUAACACUUGGAAACAGGUGCUAAUACCGUAUAACAACAGAAACCGCAUGGUUUCUGUUUGAAAGGUGGUUUCGGCUAUCACUUCUGGAUGGACCCGCGGCGUAUUAGUUAGUUGGUGAGGUAAAGGCCCACCAAGACAAUGAUACGUAGCCGACCUGAGAGGGUAAUCGGCCACAUUGGGACUGAGACACGGCCCAAACUCCUACGGGAGGCAGCAGUAGGGAAUCUUCCACAAUGGACGAAAGUCUGAUGGAGCAAUGCCGCGUGAGUGAAGAAGGGUUUCGGCUCGUAAAACUCUGUUGUUAAAGAAGAACACUUCUGAGAGUAACUGUUCAGAAGUUGACGGUAUUUAACCAGAAAGCCACGGCUAACUACGUGCCAGCAGCCGCGGUAAUACGUAGGUGGCAAGCGUUGUCCGGAUUUAUUGGGCGUAAAGCGAGCGCAGGCGGUUUCUUAAGUCUGAUGUGAAAGCCUUCGGCUUAACCGGAGAAGUGCAUCGGAAACUGGGAGACUUGAGUGCAGAAGAGGACAGUGGAACUCCAUGUGUAGCGGUG